rnacentral:tmRNA from 1 species
CUAGGGCCAGAUCUAGACUAACCUUGUGAACGACGAAUUAUUUGAGAUGCUUUGGACGCGGGUUCGACUCCCGCCACCUCCACCA